CGGGAGGCAGCAGUGGGGAAUCUUAGACAAUGGGGGAAACCCUGAUCUAGCCAUGCCGCGUGAGUGAUGAAGGCCCUAGGGUCGUAAAGCUCUUUCGCCAGGGAUGAUAAUGACAGUACCUGGUAAAGAAACCCCGGCUAACUCCGUGCCAGCAGCCGCGGUAAUACGGAGGGGGUUAGCGUUGUUCGGAAUUACUGGGCGUAAAGCGCGCGUAGGCGGAUUAGAAAGUUGGGGGUGAAAUCCCGGGGCUCAACCCCGGAACUGCCUCCAAAACUACUAGUCUAGAGUUCGAGAGAGGUGAGUGGAAUUCCGAGUGUAGAGGUGGAAUUCGUAGAUAUUCGGAGGAACACCAGUGGCGAAGGCGGCUCACUGGCUCGAUACUGACGCUGAGGUGCGAAAGUGUGGGGAGCAAACAGGAUUAGAUACCCUGGUAGUCCACACCGUAAACGAUGAAUGCCAGUCGUCGGAUAGUAUACUAUUCGGUGACACACCUAACGGAUUAAGCAUUCCGCCUGGGGAGUACGGUCGCAAGAUUAAAACUCAAAGGAAUUG
rnacentral:rRNA from 1 species